ACUUAUUAGAAAGCAUCUGCUAACUACGUGCCAGAAGCCUCGGCAAUGCGUGGGAUGCAAGCGUUAUCCGGAUUUACCGGGCGUAAAGGGUUUCGCAGGCGGACUGUUAAGUCUAGUCUUAAAUACUGAGGCUCAACUUCAGCUACAGGAUUGGAUACUGGCAGUCUUGAGGAUAUCAGGGGGAACUGGAAUACUCGGUGGAGGGGUAAAAUCCGUUGAGAUCGAGUAGAACGCCAAUGGCGAAGGCAGGUUCCUGGGGUAUUCCUGACGCUCAGGUACGAAAGCUAGGGUAGCAAACGGGAUUAGAGACCCCGGUAGUCCUAGCCGUAAACAAUGAAUACUAGCUGCUUUUCUUUUGAAGGGUGGCGUAAGCUAACGCGUUAAGUAUUCCGCCUGGGUAGUACGGCCGCAAGGUUAAAACUCGAAGGAAUUGACGGGGGGGCGCACAACCAGUGGAGCAUGUGGUUUAAUUCGAUACGAAGCGAAAGACCUCACCCGGGCUUGACAUGUACUUGCAAAUCCGAUGAAAGUCGGACUCUUUCGAAGGUAGUACACAGUUGCUGCAUGGCUGUCGUCAGCUCGUGUCGUGAGACGUCCGCUUAAGUGCGGUAACGAGCGCAACCCCUGCCGUGUGUUAAAUAUUCACAUGGGACCGCCUUACAGCAAGUAGGGAGGAAGGAGGGGACGACGUCAAGUCAGCAUGGCACUUACGUCCGGGGCCACACACAUCCUACAAUGGCAAUUAAUAACGGGUCGCGAAAGGGUAACCUCGAGCCAAUCCUUAAACAUUGCCUCAGUUCAGAUUGAGGGCUGCAACUCGCCCUCAUGAAGUCGGAAUUGGUAGUAAUCGCAGGUCAGCAGACUGCGGUGAAUACGUUCUCGCUCCUUGUACACACCGCCCGU
rnacentral:rRNA from 1 species